rnacentral:rRNA from 1 species
UACAGAGGUCUCAAGCGUGGUUCGGAUUCAUUGGGCGUAAAGGGUGCGUAGGUGGCGGGGUAAGUCAGGUGUGAAAUUUCGGAGCUUAACUCCGAAACUGCAUUUGAUACUGCCUUGCUUGAGGACUGGAGAGGAGACUGGAAUUCACGGUGUAGCAGUGAAAUGCGUAGAUAUCGGGAGGAACACCUAUGGCGAAGGCAGCUCGCUGGGACGUUACUGACGCUGAGACGCGAAAGCGUGGGGAGCAAACAGG